UACGUAGGGUGCAAGCGUUAAUCGGAAUUACUGGGCGUAAAGCGUGCGCAGGCGGUUGUGCAAGACAGGUGUGAAACCCCCGGGCUUAACCUGGGAACUGCACUUGUGACUGCACAGCUGGAGUACGGCAGAGGGGGAUGGAAUUCCGCGUGUAGCAGUGAAAUGCGUAGAUAUGCGGAGGAACACCAAUGGCGAAGGCAGUCCCCUGGGCCUGUACUGACGCUCAUGCACGAAAGCGUGGGGAGCAAACAGG
rnacentral:rRNA from 1 species